GGGUGCAUAGCUCAGCUGGUUAGAGCCCCGAUCUUAUAAGUCGGUGGUCCUUGGUUCGAAUCCAAGUGCACCCACAA
rnacentral:tRNA from 2 species